AACGAACGCUGGCGGCAGGCCUAACACAUGCAAGUCGAGCGCACUCUUCGGAGUGAGCGGCGGACGGGUUAGUAACGCGUGGGAAUAUACCCGGUACUAAGGAAUAGCCACUGGAAACGGUGAGUAAUACCUUAUACGCCCUUCCGGGGGAAAGGAUAUAUCGGUAUCGGAUUAGCCCGCGUUAGAUUAGAUAGUUGGUGGGGUAAUGGCCUACCAAGUCUACGAUCUAUAGCUGGUUUGAGAGGAUGAUCAGCAACACUGGGACUGAGACACGGCCCAGACUCCUACGGGAGGCAGCAGUGGGGAAUCUUAGACAAUGGGCGCAAGCCUGAUCUAGCCAUGCCGCGUGAGUGAUGAAGGCCUUAGGGUCGUAAAGCUCUUUCGCCAGGGAUGAUAAUGACAGUACCUGGUAAAGAAACCCCGGCUAACUCCGUG
rnacentral:rRNA from 1 species